rnacentral:rRNA from 1 species
UGGGGAAUAUUGCGCAAUGGGCGAAAGCCUGACGCAGCCAUGCCGCGUGUGUGAAGAAGGCCCUCGGGUUGUAAAGCACUUUCAAUUGGGAGGAAAGGCUCACGGCUAAUACCCGAGAGCUGUGACGUUACCUUUAGAAGAAGCACCGGCUAACUCCGUGCCAGCAGCCGCGGUAAUACGGAGGGUGCGAGCGUUAAUCGGAAUUACUGGGCGUAAAGCGCGCGUAGGUGGUCUGUUAAGUCGGAUGUGAAAGCCCCGGGCUCAACCUGGGAACUGCACCCGAUACUGGCAGACUAGAGUGCGGGAGAGGGAGGUAGAAUUCCACGUGUAGCGGUGAAAUGCGUAGAUAUGUGGAGGAAUACCAGUGGCGAAGGCGGCCUCCUGGCUCGACACUGACACUGAGGUGCGAAAGCGUGGGGAGCAAACAGG